GAUGGACGCUGGCGGCGUGCUUAACACAUGCAAGUCGAACGGAAAGGCCUCUGCUUGCAGGGGUACUCGAGUGGCGAACGGGUGAGUAACACGUGGGUGAUCUGCCCUGCACUUCGGGAUAAGCCUGGGAAACUGGGUCUAAUACCGGAUAGGACAAUGGUUUGGAUGCUGUUGUGGAAAGUUUUUCGGUGUGGGAUGAGCUCGCGGCCUAUCAGCUUGUUGGUGGGGUAAUGGCCUACCAAGGCGUCGACGGGUAGCCGGCCUGAGAGGGUGUACGGCCACAUUGGGACUGAGAUACGGCCCAGACUCCUACGGGAGGCAGCAGUGGGGAAUAUUGCACAAUGGGCGCAAGCCUGAUGCAGCGAGGCCGCGUGGGGGAUGACGGCCUUCGGGUUGUAAACUCCUUUCGCUAGGGACGAAGCGUUUUUGUGACGGUACCUGGAGAAGAAGCACCGGCUAACUACGUG
rnacentral:rRNA from 1 species